GAAGAGAAGAAAAUGGGGAAAAAAGCAGCAGCAAGAUAGAUCAUGCAUGGGUCCAAAUUCCCUAUGAUGAAUGUGACUAUUAUGUAUAACUAAAAGGUGCCCAAACAAUUAAUUUUUAAAAACAAAAAAUAAACCAUAACAAGGUGUUUUAAGGAUACUGUCACUUAUCAAGGAAAGCUCUUACUCGGAACUGGAGAAGAAUUUAAGAAUAAUCAGGUUUACCUCAAUAAAUUUCAUCAUUCAAGUUAGAAAGUGUUCAUUAAACACCCAUGUUCUAGGUUCUACGAAACCAUCAUGUAAGUAAAAUAGUCUCCGUUCUUGAGGUGUUUAAAAUCUAGAAGGAAGUCAUAAAGCAAAUUCAAUAACAAGAAAAUCUAUGACCAGCUUCCAAAAUAAACACUAGCGGCAGUGAACUGAGGGGCGACACGCACAGGGAGGACCCGCUCACCGCCUGCACUCCCACUCACGCAGCAGGUCAGCACCCACGUGAGCCCAGUCGGCAAGCUACACUGUCAGCGCUGUGUCAAAGCGAUCUGCUGCGUUUCUGCAAAGACAGGGUUCCAAUUAGAGUCUGGGAAAUCUGAAAUGGACACAGACUUAAAUGAUGGUUGCGAGUGACGUUCUUGGCAAAAUGAAGGCAGGACCCUUGUGACAGUGGUGGCGGACCUGCGGCACGCACGCACCGAGUGCUGUUUGCAUCACUGAAAGUUCGCCGUCACUGCCUGAUGAUACUGGUCAUUCCUUCCACAUUGUCCUACUCCUGACUGACUCGAACUCUCACUAUGCUCCUCCCUCCCAGAGUCUUUCUCCACCCCCUCGACCUCCUACGCCGUGAUGAACUUCUCUAGAACUUCACUUGCUACUCAAGGCAUCGCGCUGUGAUCUAAACCUGUUUCUUCUCCGAGGAUGCAGCAGUCCCUGCAGCCUUCCGCCUGGUUUUUCCCUCACAUCCUUGCCUCAAGACAACCUGCGCGAUUGCUACUCCAGCUUGGAUUCUAGCCCCGCCGCUCCACAAAGUCAGCCCCUGCAGACCUAUCAAAUCCAACAGACUGUGUUCAACACGCGGGUGAGCCGCUCCCUCAACAGCCUCUGACAAAGUUGAUUUCUUUUUCUAUGAAGUUUAUUCUUGGCUUUUGUGAUACUUUACUGUCUCUUUCUUCCUACUCUAACUCUCCUUUCUCCGAUCUUUAAAUCUAGGUGUUCCAAGCAUAGUCUCACCCC
rnacentral:lncRNA from 1 species